CUGCCGAUGGGUCCGAGUUGCCCCCCCGGAUCCGGGCGGGGCUGGUGGGGGCUGUGCAGGGCCGCGGGGGGUAACUGCAGAUGGGUCCGAGGUGCCCCCCCCCCCGGGGCUGGAGCUGCCAGCACCGAGGCGAGGCGCGGCGCAAACAUUGCGCAAUUCUCCAGCUUUCGCUUUCGCUGCGUCCUGUGCAGGGGCGGGAGGGCAGCUCGGCCCUGCAGCUCCCCCGGCUCACAGCCUCCUCCCCCCAGCUGGCAUGUUCCUCGUCUCCACCAACCCCUUCACAGUGACCAGGCUCCUGGGCUCCGACGUGCUCCUGACAUGCAGCUUCCCCGCGGCCCCGUAUGGAGCGAGGGACCGGAUGCUGCUGGUCAGCUGGUACUUCCAGGAGAGGAGAGUGGCUGAGUUGGACACAUCCCCAUCAGCACCCAGCGCUGCCGCAGGUCGAGGUGCCCAGCCCAGUGGUGCAGAGGGACGAGGACAGCGCCCUGGUGUGCUGCGUGCGGGGGUUUUACCCCCAGCACAUCGCAGUGUCCUGGCUCCGGGACGGGCAGGAGCUAAACGCCUCCUUCAUCUCUGCCAUGCGCCGGGGGCACCGGGAUGGGACCUUCAGCCUGGUAACUGUCUACAGCUUCACCCCCAUGGAGCGGGAUCUGGGGGAUCUAUUCUCCUGCCGGGCACAGCACCCUCUGCUGAACCAGUCCCGCCAGGCCGACUUCCGGAUUGCCUUCAGGGCUGGCGGCCUGGAGAUGGGGCUCAGAGUCCUGCUGUGGAUGCUGCGAGUGUCACUGCUGCUGGCCGUGGCCAUGGGGGGCUGGCUCUGCUGUGACACCAACAGCCGACCGAGGAAGGUGAGGGCUGAGUUUGCCCAGUGGGUGCCUGUGAUGGAGUAGGGGCUGUCUGUGUGGGG
rnacentral:lncRNA from 1 species